CCUACGGGAGGCAGCAGUGGGGGAUAUUGCACAAUGGGGGAAACCCUGAUGCAGCGACGCCGCGUGUGGGAAGACGGUCCUCUGGAUUGUAAACCACUGUCCCCAGGGACGAAGCUGACGGUACCUGGGGAGGAAGCUCCGGCUAACUACGUGCCAGCAGCCGCGGUAAUACGUAGGGAGCGAGCGUUGUCCGGAAUUACUGGGUGGAAAGGGAGCGUAGGCGGGACUGCAAGUUGGGUGUCAAAUCUACCGGCUCAACCGGUAGCCGACCUCAAAACUGCAGUUCUUGAGUGAAGUAGAGGCAGGCGGAAUUCCUAGUGUAGCGGUGAAAUGCGUAGAUAUUAGGAGGAACACCAGUGGCGAAGGCGGCCUGCUGGGCUUUUACUGACGCUGAGGCUCGAAAGUGUGGGGAGCAAACAGGAUUAGAUACCCUGGUAGUC
rnacentral:rRNA from 1 species